AUGAACGUUGGCGGCGUGGAUUAGGCAUGCAAGUCGAGCGCGAAUCGUAGCAAUACGAGGAGAGCGGCAAACGGGGUAGGAAGGAUUGGUGACGUACCCUCCGGACGGGGAUAGCCAUGGGAAACUAUGGGUAAUACCCGAUGAUCUCCUAAGUUUGAAUACUUAGGUGCAAAGGUGUGAUUCCACCGGGGGAGCGGCCAAUCUGACAUCAGCUAGUUGGUAAGGUAACGGCUUACCAAGGCUUUGACGUCUAGGGGGUGUGAGAGCAUGGCCCCCACCACUGGGACUGAGAAACUGCCCAGACACCUACGGGUGGCUGCGGUCGAGAAUCUUCGGCAAUGGGCGCAAGCCUGACCGAGCGACGCCGCGUGUGGGAUGAAGGCCCUUGGGUUGUAAACCACUGUCAGAGGGGAUGAAGUGCAGGAGAGCUAUCUCUUCUGCUUGACAUAGCCUCAGAGGAAGCACGGGCUAAGUUCGU
rnacentral:rRNA from 1 species